AGUCGACCCCUAAGGCGAGGCCGAAAGGCGUAGUCGAUGGGAAACAGGUUAAUAUUCCUGUACUUGGUGUUACUGCGAAGGGGGGACGGAGAAGGCUAUGUUAGCCGGGCGACGGUUGUCCCGGUUUAAGCAUGUAGGCUGGUUGUCCAGGCAAAUCCGGAUAAUCAAGGCUGAGGUGUGAUGACGAGGCACUACGGUGCUGAAGUAACAAAUGCCCUGCUUCCAGGAAAAGCCUCUAAGCAUCAGGUAACAUCAAAUCGUACCCCAAACCGACACAGGUGGUCAGGUA
rnacentral:rRNA from 1 species